GUGUCAGCCGCCGCGGUAAUACGGAGGGUGCAAGCGUUGUUCGGAAUUAUUGGGCGUAAAGCGCGUGUAGGCGGUUUCUUAAGUCUGAUGUGAAAGCCCCGGGCUCAACCUGGGAAGUGCAUUGGAUACUGGGAAACUUGAAUACGGGAGAGGGCAGUGGAAUUCCUAGUGUAGGAGUGAAAUCCGUAGAUAUUAGGAGGAACACCGGUGGCGAAGGCGGCUGCCUGGACCGAUAUUGACGCUGAGACGCGAAAGCGUGGGUAGCAAACAGGAUUAGAAACCCCGGUAGUCC
rnacentral:rRNA from 1 species